AUAUGUAGUGCUUUCUGCUCAAUGAGACAUUAAAUAGCCGCAGUACUCUGACUGUGCAAAGGUAGCGUAAUCAUUUGGCUUCUAAUUAAAGUCGUGUAUGAACGAAUACAUGGGGGUUUUCUUUACCAUACGUGCAACAAGAAUUUGUUAAGUGAGUGAAAAGGCUCACGGAAAAAUAAUAGACGAGAAGACCCUAGAAAUUUUUCUCCAGGGUUUUGUUGGGGCAACAUGGGAGCAAUAAUAAUCUCUUAAUUGUACAAGACAUAUGAUUGAUUGACAAAAUUACUCUAGGGAUAACAGCAUAAUUUGCGAGAGUUUGUGACCUCGAUGUUGGAUUAGGAACCUAUAGCCCAGAAGGCAAACAGUUAUGCUCUGUUCGAGCA
rnacentral:rRNA from 1 species